rnacentral:rRNA from 1 species
AUUGAACGCUGGCGGCAUGCCUUACACAUGCAAGUCGAACGGCAGCAUGAUCUAGCUUGCCAGAUUGAUGGCGAGUGGCGAACGGGUGAGUAAUACAUCGCAACGUGCCCUGUAGUGGGGGAUAACUAGUCGAAAGAUUAGCUAAUACAGCAUAUGACCUGAGGGUGGAAGUGGGGGACCGCAAGGCCUCAUGCUAUAGGGGCGGCCGAUGUCUGAUUAGCUAGUUGGUGAGGUAAAGGCUCACCAAGGCGACGAUCAGUAGCUGGUCUGAGAGGACGAUCAGCCACACUGGGACUGAGACACGGCCCAGACUCCUACGGGAGGCAGCAGUGGGGAAUUUUGGACAAUGGGCGAAAGCCUGAUCCAGCAAUGCCGCGUGUGUGAAGAAGGCCUUCGGGUUGUAAAGCACUUUUGUCCGGAAAGAAAUGGCUCUGGUUAAUACCUGGGGUCGAUGACGGUACCGGAAGAAUAAGGACCGGCUAACUACGUG